GCAAAUUGAAGCUAGGACAUGUGUAAGAUCAUCUAGGGUGAUCCCCUUAAAAUUUCUAACACGAGUUGUUCAGAUUUGGAUUUCCCCGAAAAUCCCCUCCUGAAGUUACCGAACAAAUUCAUAAAAUUCGUGGUGAAAUCAUGAUAUUCUUGGAUAGAUCUUUUGGGUAACAAUUCACCAUAUAUGCAUGGAGCUACUACUGAAGUUUCAUUGGAUUUGAAUCUUGUUUAAUUGGAUUUCAUGAUUUGGG
rnacentral:lncRNA from 1 species